CUUGGUAGCAGGCAGCUGCUGGCUGUGAGCGCUCACAGGCCUGUCUCAAGUGUCCCAAAACUGGUUUGACCUGCUGCAUUCCAUCAUAAGGAUCACGUAAUGAAUGUGACAAUGCAAUAGCUGAAAUAAAGACUACAUCUGUAGUGGUGCAGAUAAGUGGCGAAGUCUUUCAUUUAAUGAUAAGACACGUGUUUGUUUGUGGGUUUUGUUUUUGUUUUUUUUAAAUUCCAUGUUAGAGUGCCAGAUCAGAUACUUACAUUUUUCAUGAUUUUUUUUUUUCAUAAUGUGAAUCACUGAUGCUAUCUUACUGUACCAGCAAGAUAUGAUGUGACUUUACAUACAUAUUGUAUUCAGUACAAACAAAUCAGAAUUUCAGCCAACAAAUUGCAAGUCAAGAGCAGCUGGAUCCCCACUGCCAUUUUCAAACAAGCAAGUAGCUCAGUUAGAAUUAGGUAGGCUUUUCAUAUUCUGUAACACUGUAUGAAGGAAAAGUCAAAUUACAUAUUAUGUUUUAUGACAUUUCAUUUCUUGUUUGUGCAGCUUUUUACUAUUGUCACUAAAAUUGAGAUCUGUUACUAAGCGUGAGCUUUCUAUCCUAGAGAAAGUCUUUUCUCCUCUUUGUGUGGGAAUAUUCUUUUAUGUCUUCAUAGACAGCCUGUGUGUUGGGGAACUUACUCUCUAAAGUUAUUCCUCCCACCCACCGCAAAGAGUCACUUCUUUGCAGAAGAACAGUGUCUUCAGAAAAGUUACAGUAUAAUUCAUCAAACACAUAAUGGCUUCAAAAAUCUUCUACUCCCC
ensembl:lncRNA